GCUUGGGUAUGCCUAACACAUGCUAGUUUAAAGAAAAUAAAAAUAUUUUAUUUUCUUAGCGUAUAGGUGAGUAUAAUGUAAGAAACCAGCCUAUAAAUAGUAUACUAAAUAUUUAUAUGUAAAUUAUGUAUAAAUAAUAUAAUAUUCUAUAAAAAUUUUUUAAAAUUAAAGUAAUUUUAAAAUGAAUAAAAAGAUUUAUUUAUCGUUUAUAGACGGGCUUACAAAGGAUUUAGAUAGUUGGUAAGGUAACUGCUUACCAAGUCGAUUAUCCUUAGCUGUUUGGGAGAAUGAUCAGCCACAUUGGAUCUGAAACAACAUCCAACUAUCGAAGCGAUGGCAGCAGUGGGGAAUCUUGACAAUAUGCUAACGCAUGAUCCAGCAAUAUCAAAGAAAUGAAGAAGAUUCAGGAGAUCGUAAAGUUUUCACAAUAAAGGAAAAAGUAAAUAAAUUAAAUUAACAGAUAAUACUUUAUUGUUAAGCUCCGACUAACUUCGUGCCAGCAGUCGCGGUAAUACGGGGGAGCGAGUGUUACUCAUGCUGAUUGGGCGUAAAGGGUAUGUAGGUUGUUAAUUAAGUUUAUUGUUAAAUUCAAUGAGCUCAACUCUUGCAAAGCAAUUUAAUACUGAUUAACUUUGAGUAUGUAAGAGGAUAGUGGGAUUCUUAGUGAAAAGUAAAAUUUUAUGAUAUUAAGAAGACGAACCAGCGAAGGCGACUAUCCAUUGCAUUACUGACACUGAAAUACAAAAGUAUAGGGAGUAAAGAGGAUUAGAUACCCUCGUAAUCUAUACUGUGACCUAUGAGUAUUGAAUUUGGAUAAUUAAUUCUAUUUUUCAGCUAACGCGUAAAUACUCCGCCUGGGACUAAGGUCGCAAGAUUAAAACUCAAAGAAAUUGACGGAGAUUUGACCAAGUAGUGGAGCAUGUGGUUUAAUCCGAUAGUCCGCGUAAAAUCUUACCAAUUCUAGUUUAUAUGUUUUAAUAUAUAAUUAUAUUAAAUUAAAUUUAAAUUAAUUUUAGUAAUUAAUUAAAUAACAUAUAAUCAGGUGUUGCAUGGCUGUCGUCAGUUCGUGUUGUGAAAUAUUUGAUUAAUUUCAAUAACGGGCGCAAUCCUUAAAUUAUAUUUAUUAAAUAUAAUUAAAUGUCAAUGAAAUAUUGAAGGAAGGUAAGGACAACGACAAGUCGUUAUGCCUUUAUGAAUUGGGCUACACAUGUGCUACAAUGAUUAUUACAAUAAGAUGCAAAAAUGCAAAUUUAAGCUAAUCUUUAAAAAUAAUCUUAGUUCGGAUUAUUCUUUGCAAUUCAAGAAUAUGAAGUUGGAAUUACUAGUAAUCGUUUAUAAGUACGAAACGGUGAAUUUGGAACCUAAUCUUGUACACACCGCCCGUCACGCCAUGGAAGCAGGUUUUAUAUUAAAUAUUUAAGAUAAUUAUUAUAUAUAAUUGAAAUUUAAUUUUUUUUUUAAAUAAGUAAAAUAAUUAAUUAUUUUAUUUAUUUAAAAAUUAUUUUA
rnacentral:rRNA from 1 species